rnacentral:rRNA from 1 species
UACGUAGGGGGCAAGCGUUAUCCGGAUUUAUUGGGUUUAAAGGGUGCGUAGGCGGUUUGAUAAGUUAGAGGUGAAAUGUCGGGGCUCAACCCCGAAACUGCCUCUAAUACUGUUGGACUAGAGAAUAGUUGCGGUAGGCGGAAUGUAUGGUGUAGCGGUGAAAUGCUUAGAGAUCAUACAGAACACCGAUUGCGAAGGCAGCUUACCAAGCUACUUCUGACGUUGAGGCACGAAAGCGCGGGUAUCGAACAGG